GACGAACGCUGGCGGCGUGCUUAACACAUGCAAGUCGAACGGUAAGGCCCUUCGGGGUACACGAGUGGCGAACGGGUGAGUAACACGUGGUGAUCUGCCCUGCACUUCGGGAUAAGCCUGGGAAACUGGGUCUAAUACCGGAUAGGACCACUGCCUGCAUGGGUGGUGGUGGAAAGCUUUUGCGGUGUGGGAUGGGCCCGCGGCCUAUCAGCUUGUUGGUGGGGUGAUGGCCUACCAAGGCGACGACGGGUAGCCGGCCUGAGAGGGUGACCGGCCACACGGGGACUGGGAUACGGCCCAGACUCCUACGGGAGGCAGCAGUGGGGAAUAUUGCACAAUGGGCGCAAGCCUGAUGCAGCGACGCCGCGUGAGGGAUGACGGCCUUCGGGUUGUAAACCUCUUUCAGCACCGACGAAGCGCAAGUGACGGUAGGUGCAGAAGAAGGACCGGCCAACUACGUGCCAGCCGCCGCCGUAACAC
rnacentral:rRNA from 1 species